rnacentral:rRNA from 1 species
GUGUCAGCCGCCGCGGUAAUACGGAGGGAGCUAGCGUUGUUCGGAAUUACUGGGCGUAAAGAGUACGUAGGCGGUUUUUUAAGUCAGAGGUGAAAUCCCGGAGCUCAACUCCGGAACUGCCUUUGAAACUGGAAAGCUAGAAUCAUGGAGAGGUUAGUGGAAUUCCGAGUGUAGAGGUGAAAUUCGUAGAUAUUCGGAAGAACACCAGUGGCGAAGGCGACUGACUGGACAUGUAUUGACGCUGAGGUACGAAAGCGUGGGGAGCAAACAGGAUUAGAUACCCUGGUAGUCCACGCCGUAAACGAUGAUAACUAGUUGUUCGGGCACAACGUGCUUGAGUGACGCAGCUAACGCAUUAAGUUAUCCGCCUGGGGAGUACGGUCGCAAGAUUAAA